UUUGUACUCCCUCCAUCCCAAAAUUCUUGUCUUAAAUUUGUCUAAAUACGAAUGUAUCUAGUUACAUUUUAGUGUUAGAUACAUCUGUAUCUAAACAAAUGUAAGACAAGAAUUUUGGGACGGAGGGAAUACUAC
rnacentral:pre_miRNA from 1 species